rnacentral:rRNA from 1 species
GAUGAACGCUGGCGGCGUGCCUAAUACAUGCAAGUCGAGCGAACAGACGAGGAGCUUGCUCCUCUAACGUUAGCGGCGGACGGGUGAGUAACACGUGGAUAACCUACCUAUAAGACUGGGAUAACUUCGGGAAACCGGAGCUAAUACCGGAUAAUAUAUUGAACCGCAUGGUUCAAUAGUGAAAGACGGUUUUGCUGUCACUUAUAGAUGGAUCCGCGCCGCAUUAGCUAGUUGGUAAGGUAACAGCUUACCAAGGCAACGAUGCGUAGCCGACCUGAGAGGGUGAUCGGCCACACUGGAACUGAGACACGGUCCAGACUCCUACGGGAGGCAGCAGUAGGGAAUCUUCCGCAAUGGGCGAAAGCCUGACGGAGCAACGCCGCGUGAGUGAUGAAGGUCUUCGGAUCGUAAAACUCUGUUAUUAGUGAAGAACAAAUGUGUAAGUAACUAUGCACGUCUUGACGGUACCUAAUCAGAAAGCCACGGCUAACUACGUG